CGCCUUUUUUAAUGGUUUCCAUAGGGAAAGCGUCCACUAGCGGGGUCAGGAGCCCCACACCAAGGCAAAGGGGCUGAACCAGAGCCAAGCGCUUCCCUCUGCCCCCCCAACAAAUCCCCCCUUUUUGUGUGGGGGAUUGAGGGGAGGCGGAGGGAGACACGAGGCGGGCAGGACGCACGUCCCUUCCAGAGGGGUUGCCGCGUUAGUCUCUCUCGCGUCAAAUAUCCCCAAACAGAAUGCCUUCAAGGCUCCAUCGCGUUUAUUGCGGCGCGACCUCUCGCACCGCAGGGGAAGAAGGCCUUCAGGAAGAGGCGGGAAAGCUGGUGAGGAGAAAAGGCCCGAGGAGCCGCGUCUCGGGGGCUCGCGCUCGCUCUGUAUCUUUCUCGUUCUCCUCAGGGCCGACGCCAUUUUUUCCCCUCCUGGACCAGAAUCGGGGAGUCACUCAGGGAAGGGAGCGCAGAAGGGAAAGAUGGCUCGCGGGGAGGGCGACGCUACACGCGCUCCCACGAGCCCACACCAUUUGUUGCCCCUUCUCUCUCUCUCUAAUAAAGCACCCAUCAUCUCUCCCUUAUCCGUCUCCACCUUUUCGCCCGCUCACCCAGACGAAGGCAGCCACUCUUUCCCCGCCUCUUUGGCCUUCCCGCGCCCCCUCCUGGAGCUGGCGAGAGGCGGCGGCGAGAAGGGGGAUUUUGCCCGCGGAAGGACUGGCGAAGAGAAGGAGGCAGCUGGUUGGGAAAUGGCGUCCUCUGUGGGGGCGGCUUACGAGCAGUUGCGCUUCUCUCUCCCCCCCCCCCCCGUCUAACUCAAACAAGAAUCGAUAGUGUAUUUUUUUCAAAUUCCAGAGGAAGGUCUGUUGUUGCAGCCAAAACUACUGCAGAGGCCUGCCCCACCUUCAACUGUCUGAUCUGUUGGGAGCAACGCUCCAUCUAACAGGCUUUGCUCCUCCCCUCCCUUCUCUUCCGGCGUUUGUUCAGUCAGUUAGUAAUAGCUCCCUGGGUGCAGGACACACGGCUGCUUCAGCAAGUUGAACGGAAUUUGCACUGCGAGCAUGCAGUUGGUCUUCUUUUUCAUUUGCUGUUUUAUUCAGCAUCUCUUUAAAGUGCUGGUGUAAUUGGCUUUUAUACUUGUAAACCACUGAGGUGUGAAAAUUGGAGGGAGAAAUAUCAAUAAGAUACGCAGACAAUACCAUACUACUAGCAGAAAUCAGUAAUGAUUUGAAACGAAUGCUGAUGAAAGUUAAAGAGGAAAGCACACAAGCAGGACUAUAGCUGAACAUCAAGAACACUAAAGUAAUGACAACAGAAGAUUUAUGUAACUUUAAAGUUGACAAUGGGGACAUUGAGCUUGUCAUGGAUUAUCAAUACCUUGGCACAGUCAUUAUCCAAAAUGGAGGCAAUAGUCAAGAAAUCAGAAGAAGGCUAGGACUGGGGAGGGCAGUUAUGAGAGAACCAGAAAAGGCCCUCAAAUGCAAAGAUGUAUCACUGAACACUAAGGUCAGGAUCAUUCAGACCAUGGUAUUCCCCAUCUCUAUGUAUGGAUGUGAAAGUUGGAAAAGAGCAGGAAAAAUCAACUCAUUUGAAAUGUGGUGUUGGAGAAGAGUUUUGCGGAUACCAGGCAUGGCGAAAAAGGCAAAUGA